rnacentral:tRNA from 1 species
UUCCUUAGUAGCUCAAUGGUAGAGCCAUCGGCUGUUAACCGAAAGGUUAUAGGUUCAAGUCCUGUCUGGGGAGUC